rnacentral:rRNA from 1 species
UACAGAGGAGCCAAGCGUUGUCCGGAUUGACUGGGCGUAAAGCGCACGCAGGCGGUUGCGCGCGUGGGGUGUGAAAUCUGGCCGCUUAACGGCCAGGCGCCAUCCCAUACGGCGCGACUGGAGGGCUGCAGAGGUCGAUGGAAUUGCCGGUGUAGUGGUGAAAUGCGUAGAUAUAGGAAGGAAUACCAGUGGCGAAGGCGGCUCACUGGCCCGAUACUGACGCUGAGGCACGAAAGCGUGGGGAGCAAACAGG